UUGCUUUGGCAGCACAAAAUUGGAAUGAUACAAAAAAAAUUAUCAUGUCCCCUACACAAGGAUGACAUACAAAUUUGUGAAGUGUUUUAUAUAAAA
rnacentral:snRNA from 1 species